CCUACGGGAGGCUGCAGUGGGGAAUAUUGCACAAUGGGGGAAACCCUGAUGCAGCGACGCCGCGUGAGCGAUGAAGUAUUUCGGUAUGUAAACCUCUGUCAGCAGGGAAGAACGGUCACUGUGCUAAUCAGCAGUGAAUUGACGGUACCUGCAAAGGAAGCACCGGCUAACUCCGUGCCAGCAGCCGCGGUAAUACGGAGGGUGCGAGCGUUAAUCGGAAUUACUGGGCGUAAAGCGCUCGUAGGCGGUAUGUCAAGUCAAGGGUGAAAUCCCCGCGCUCAACGUGGGAACUGCCUUUGAAACUGGCAAACUGGAGUGUGUGAGAGGAUAGUGGAAUUCCAGGUGUAGGAGUGAAAUCCGUAGAUAUCUGGAGGAACAUCAGUGGCGAAGGCGACUAUCUGGCACAUAACUGACGCUGAGGAGCGAAAGCGUGGGUAGCAAACAGGAUUAGAUACCCCAGUAGUC
rnacentral:rRNA from 1 species